rnacentral:lncRNA from 1 species
AAGAAUCAUAAAAUGUUUUGGUAAUAAUAGUUUCUCACAAUUAAAUAAAAAUAUCAAUUAAUUUAAAAAAGCUUCCCCCCUAUCCUAUUUUUUUGUUUUUUCGCACAGGCUUAACACUAAAACAAACUAGGGGCGUAUAUAUUUUUAUCCGUAAUAUAUUUCUGGUGAUUGCAAAAUAAUUUUUGCACUGAUUAAUAACAGUAGAUUUGCGUUGACGACUGAUAAGGUUGUAUUGUUUCUAUUUUUUUCUUUUCCAGCGAAGCCUGCAACAAAUUUUUAACAUUAAGGGAGAGGCGACCAGAAUUGAUCAAGUCACGAAAGGUGUCUGAAAGAGAUGACGGAGCCGUACGAUGUUCAUAUGGAUCCGACAUAUCUAUCGACGAGGACCCCACUACUCCAGACCAACGACUUUCUGGGUCCCACUCUGCCGGCCCCCAGAAGUCCUCAACGUGUCAGCAACCAAAACCUCCUUUCGUUGCCUCAACUUCGCAAUGUAACAGCAGAGAGUCCAGCGUGGAACCAGUCGAGAACAGCAACGAAAAAUAUUCCAUUGCUGAAAAAGGGAAGGAGGACGAGAAAGAGGAAGAGAAAUCAGUUGCCUCAACUUCGCAAUGUAAUAGCAGAGAAUCCAGCGUGGAACCAGUCGAGAACAACAACGAGAAGCGCUUCAUUGUUGAAAAAGAAAAGGAGCAAGAAAAAGAGGAAGACAAAUCCUC